UACGUAGGGGGCAAGCGUUGUCCGGAUUUAUUGGGCGUAAAGAGCGUGUAGGCGGCCAGAUAGGUCUGCUGUGAAAACUCGAGGCUCAACCUCGAGAUGUCGGCGGAAACCAUUUGGCUAGAGUCCGGAAGAGGAAAGUGGAAUUCCUGGUGUAGCGGUGAAAUGCGCAGAUAUCAGGAGGAACACCAACGGCGAAGGCAGCUCGCUGGGACGGUACUGACGCUGAGGAGCGAAAGCCAGGGGAGCAAACGGG
rnacentral:rRNA from 1 species